rnacentral:rRNA from 1 species
GACGAACGCUGGCGGCGUGCUUAACACAUGCAAGUCGAACGAAGUGGCGAACGGGUGAGUAAUACGUGAGUAACCUGCCCUCCUUUUUGGGAUAAGCCUUGGAAACGGGGUCUAAUACCGGAUAAGGGGGGAUGGGCUCGCGGCCUAUCAGCUUGUUGGUGGGGUGAUGGCCUACCAAGGCGGUGACGGGUAGCCGGCCUGAGAGGGGGACAGGCUGCAUGUGGACUGGGUUACCGGUCAGAGUGUUACGGGUGGCAGCUGUGGGGGAUUGUUCACAAUAGGCGAAAGCCGGAUGCAGCGACGCGGCGAGGGGGAUCCAGGCCUGAGGGUUGUAAAAGUCUUUGGUUAUCUAGCGGGUGGGUGCAGAAGCAGAGCCGGAUAAAUACGUUCCAGCAGCCGCGGUAAUUC